rnacentral:misc_RNA from 1 species
CAUCAUUACUGUGUAAUCAACGUAACUGUGUAAUCAUUGACAUCAUGUGUAAGACAGUGACAACCAUGCAAUCGUCUGCCCCUUCAUAGACGGUCGUAUUGUCGUAAGAGGAAGAAAGUCGUGGGAUAAAACAUAGCUUAUACAAAGAUCGACUGCGAUCUUCUCUCUUUCUAUCCGUCGGAGCUCGUUACAGGCGAAACCUUUUAAGGAGACCGAUUUUAUUAUGGCGAAGCUUGCCUAACCUUGCACCAUUGAAAAUAUUAAUUCC